GACGAACGCUGGCGGCGUGCCUAAUACAUGCGAGUAGAACGCUGAAGCUUGGUGCUUGCCCCGAGCGGAUGAGUUGCGAACGGGUGAGUAACGCGUAGGUAACCUGCCUGGUAGCGGGGGAUAACUAUUGGAAACGAUAGCUAAUACCGCAUAACAGUAGAUAUCGCAUGAUAGCUACUUGAAAGGUGCAAAUGCACCACUACCAGAUGGACCUGCGUUGUAUUAGCUAGUUGGUGAGGUAACGGCUCACCAAGGCAACGAUACAUAGCCGACCUGAGAGGGUGAGCAGCCACACUGGGACUGAGACACGGCCCAGACUCCUACGGGAGGCAGCAGUAGGGAAUCUUCGGCAAUGGACGGAAGUCUGACCGAGCAACGCCGCGUGAGUGAAGAAGGUUUUCGGAUCGUAAAGCUCUGUUGUAAGAGAAGAACGAGUGUGAGAGUGGAAAGUUCACACUGUGACGGUAUCUUACCAGAAAGGGACGGCUAACUACGUG
rnacentral:rRNA from 1 species